AUAGUUUUUAAUAAAAAAAGUUUUAAAAAGUUUUAGAGGAGUUUUGAAAAGCAAGGAAAGUUUAAAAAGUUAGAUUUUUAAAAAUUUAAAAAAGUUUAAAAAGUUAAAAAAAUUAGGGUUAGUGGUUAGGAGUUAGGGGUUAGGGUUUAGGGUUAGGGAUUAGAGGUUAGUGAUUAGGGUUGGGGUUGGGGUUAGGGUUAGUGUUAGGUGCCGC
rnacentral:lncRNA from 1 species